GACGAACGCUGGCGGCGUGCUUAACACAUGCAAGUCGAGCGAUGAAGCACCUUCGGGUGUGGAUUAGCGGCGAACCGGUGAGGAACACGUGAGGAAUCUGCCUUUCACUUCGGGAUAACUCCGGGAAACCGGGGCUAAUACCGGAUAUUUUCAACGGGCGGCAUCGGCGGUUGAAGAAAGUUUUUCGGUGAAAGGUGACCUCGCGGCCUAUCAGCUUGUUGGUGAGGUAAUGGCUCACCAAGGCGACGACGGGUAGCCGGCCUGAGAGGGCGACCGGCCACACUGGGACUGAGACACGGCCCAGACUCCUACGGGAGGCAGCAGUGGGGAAUAUUGGGCAAUGGAGGAAACUCUGACCCAGCGACGCCGCGUGAGUGAUGAAGGCCUUCGGGUUGUAAACCUCUUUCAGCAGGGAAUAAGCGAAAGUGAAGGUACCUGCAGAAGAAGCACCGGCUAACUAUGUGCCAGCCGCCGCGGUAA
rnacentral:rRNA from 1 species